rnacentral:rRNA from 1 species
UACAGAGGGUGCAAGCGUUAAUCGGAAUUACUGGGCGUAAAGCGUGCGUAGACGGUUAUGUAAGUCGGAUGUGAAAGCCCCGGGCUCAACCUGGGAAUGGCAUUCGAGACUGCAUAGCUAGGAUGCGGAAGAGGGCAGUGGAAUUUCGGGUGUAGCGGUGAAAUGCGUAGAUAUCCGAAGGAACAUCAGUGGCGAAAGCGACUGCCUGGUCCAGCAUCGACGUUCAGGCACGAAAGCGUGGGGAGCAAACAGG